rnacentral:rRNA from 1 species
CCUACGGGAGGCAGCAGUGGGGGAUAUUGCACAAUGGGGGGAACCCUGAUGCAGCGACGCCGCGUGGGUGAAGAAGCGCCUCGGCGCGUAAAGCCCUGUCAGCAGGGAAGAAAAUGACGGUACCUGAAGAAGAAGCACCGGCUAACGACGUGCCAGCAGCCGCGGGAAUACGUAGGGGGCAAGCGUUAUCCGGAUUUACGGGGUGUAAAGGGGGCGCAGACGGCGAUGCAAGCCAGGAGUGAAAGCCCGGGGCCCAACCCCGGGACUGCUCUUGGAACGGCGUGGCUGGAGUGCAGGAGGGGCAGGCGGAAUUCCUGGUGUAGCGGUGAAAUGCGUAGAUAUCAGGAGGAACACCGGUGGCGAAGGCGGCCUGCUGGACUGCAACUGACGUUGAGGCCCGCAAGCGUGGGGAGCAAACAGGAUUAGAUACCCUAGUAGUC